GGCAACCUGGCCAUAAUAAACAAGUUCCUUACACCCUUCACUCAGUCUGGGCUAGUGUUUGGGUGGAUCAGCUAUACUCUCUGCAGCAGAACUUAAUCACUUACAGCUGUACCCAGGACCCUGUUCCAGGGCGGGAAGCGACGGAGAGACCUCAGCCAAGUUGCGGCAGCUAAGGGCUGAAGCACUCCUGUGUCCCAGAGGAGAGCUAGGAAG